CUAGUGACAGAGUGAGAGAGGGGGUGACUAGUGACCGAGUGAGGGAGGGAGAGGGUGACUAGUGACAGAGUGAGGAAGGGGGUGACACAGUGAUAGUCACCCCAUUCCUCCCUCUGUCACUAAUCACCACCUCCCUCACUCUCACUAGUCACCCCAUCCCUCCCUCACUCUGUCACUAGUCACACCCUUACUCGCUGUCACUAGUCACACCCUCCCUCUCUCUGUCACUAGAGU